UCCAGACUCCUACGGGAGGCAGCAGUGGGGAAUAUUGCACAAUGGGGGAAACCCUGAUGUAGCGACGCCGCGUGAGCGAAGAAGUACCUCGGUAUGUAAAGCUCUAUCAGCAGGGAAGAAGAUGACGGUACCUGACCAAGAAGCUCCGGCUAAAUACGUGCCAGCAGCCGCGGUAAUACGUAGGGGGCAAGCGUUAUCCGGAUUUACUGGGUGUAAAGGAAGCGUAGACGGAAAGGCAAGUCAGAAGUGAAAGCCCAAGGCUCAACCAUGGGACUGCUUUUGAAACUGUCAAACUAGAGUACGGGAGAGGUAAGAGGAAUUCCUAGUGUAGCGGUGAAAUGCGUAGAUAUUAGGAGGAACACCAGUGGCGAAGGCGUCUUACUGGACCGAAACUGACGUUGAGGCUCGAAAGCGUGGGGAGCAAACAGGAUUAGAUACCCUAGUA
rnacentral:rRNA from 1 species